UCGACCUGAGUUCAGGCAAGAGCACCCGCUGAACUUAAGCAUAUCAAUAAGCGGAGGAAAAGAAACUAACCAGGAUUCCCC
rnacentral:rRNA from 1 species